CCAUGAUAGGUCCUCGUGUGCGUAGGAAUUUUUUUGUUUCCCAUGCGACGUUCCCCAACAGUGGUAUCACAACUAGGUUCAUGCAUAGAUGAUAUCUCGAGUACAACACAAAAGAGUUUGUGGUCGUUGAUGUUCUUUUUGCUGCCCUCCUUAGUCUUUUCUCGAUUCGGGGGUAUUGUUGGAUUGAAGCGGCCCGGACCAACCUUACUCGUACGCUUACGAGAGACCGGUUUCAUCGACUAACAUUGUCACAUCCCUGGAACCCUAAUCAAGUAUAGCACUAUGCUCAUAUCUUCUUUGCAUUGCAUCCAAGAAAAUUGCAACAAGAUCAAAGCAGGUGGUGAAGCAAAACUCAAAAACCCUAGCCACUUCUCAAAUUCAAAGAAAUUCUAAAUUUGUUCAAAUCAAUGAACCCAAAAUG
rnacentral:lncRNA from 1 species